rnacentral:rRNA from 1 species
GGCCACAUCAUGUUGAAACACCAGUUCCUGUACAAUCACUGAAGUUAAGCAAAUUCGAGUCUGGUCUGUACCUAGAUGGGUGACUGCUUGGGAAUAUCAGGUUCUGUAAG